rnacentral:piRNA from 1 species
UUCAAUGCUAGAAACAUUACA